rnacentral:lncRNA from 1 species
GGUAAAUUUGGGGACUUAUUUUUGCUGUGAAUUAAUAUUUUGAAAUUCACCUAACUAGGAAUAUGUGUGUUGUGCUUGUACAAGUUUUCAUGGAAUAAUGCUUCCCUGUCUUAUGAACAAUGAACAAUCAUUUUUACGUUUUUUUGGUUGAAUAACCAUCUUAAAUUAUUACUAUGAUCAAUAAGUGAACUGACCAUAACAACAGCUGGAUUUCUAUUCAUUAUUUUAUACAACUUAGUAUCAAUUCUAAUGCAAUUAUUUUGUAUCAAUGGUUCUGAUUGGAUGACAGUUAGCAUAAAAUUCUCUAUCUCCUUGUCUGUAACUAAGGAAGCCGACAUUUUGAAUAUCUGAAUGUAUUGACAUGUAAUUUCUACAAUAAUAAGCCAAAAAACUCACAUGUAUCACCUAAAAAUCUUCUUUUUGUCAAAUUUUAUUACACUCUGAAGCGGCACAGAAGCCAGAAAACGCCCGGUGUUUAUGUUUGACGAUUGAAACAUACCUAUGAUGUCAACUAGUGUAGGGACCAAAGAAGAUAACAUCUUUUCGCGUAAUUUUCUUUAAUAAGAUUUUACACUGAAAUAAUGAUUGAAAUUUAACUAUGAACUUGUUUUGCAUUAGAAUAGAGAUAACUGUAUUGUAUUUGAAGCUUUGCGGACAUCCAUCGGUAGUUUUACUGUUACAAAUACCCGUUUACCGGUCUUCGCUACGCAUUACCAGGUAAACUAAAUUUGUGACAGUAAAAUUACCGAUGGACUACCUUAAAGCUUUAAAUACAAUACAGUUAUCUCUUAAAUCUCUACUAAAAAAAAUAAUGGAAUGAGUGCACAGAUUUUAAAUUAAGGUCUUUUUAAUAAAAAAUAUUUGCUGUAAAUAGUCUUUUAUAAAAAUAGGCCAAGAACUUAUGUUAAAUGUGCAAUAUUUGCUUAUUAUUUUUCCUGCAUGUCUUAUUUUUCACAUGAUCUCAAUGAAAACUGCUUGGAAACCACUGCUUAGUAUAAAGACAUAGUUUGAUCUCUUCCAUAAUUCAAUCAUGUAAAAAUGGGAAUUACUUUGAAAAAUAUAUUCUUAAAAAGUAAAAGAAAGAAAUGUACAGGAUGUAUUUAAGAUUUUAUAUUCAUUUUGUUUUCUAAUGCAGGAGCUUUUUUUAUGAUCUAUGCUUUUGAAUGGGGGCAUAUAGUUGGAACCCCCCUUUAUCCUGGGAGUUAAAACCCCCCUUUUAAAAUUGACUGGACCUGC